rnacentral:rRNA from 2 species
GACGUAGGGGGCGAGCGUUGUCCGGAUUUAUUGGGCGUAAAGAGCGCGUAGGCGGUCCGGAAAGUCGGAUGUGAAAACCCGGGGCUCAACCCCGGGCCUGCAUCCGAUACUCCCGGACUGGAGGCAGGUAGGGGAGAUCGGAAUUCCUGGUGUAGCGGUGAAAUGCGCAGAUAUCAGGAGGAACACCGGUGGCGAAGGCGGAUCUCUGGGCCUGUCCUGACGCUGAGGCGCGAAAGCUAGGGGAGCGAACAGG